AGUGAACGCUGGCGGUAGGCCUAACACAUGCAAGUCGAACGGCAGCACAGGAGAUCUUGCUCUCUGGGUGGCGAGUGGCGGACGGGUGAGGCAUACAUCGGAAUCUGCCCAGUCGUGGGGGACAACGUAGGGAAACUUAUGCUAAUACCUCAUACUACCUGCGGGAGAAAGUGGGGGAUCGCAAGACCUCUCGCGAUUGGAUGAGCCGAUGUCGGAUUAGUUAGUUGGCGGGGUAAUGGCCCACCAAGGCGGCGGUCGGUAGCUGGUCUGAGAGGGUGAGUGCCCAAAUGGGAACUGGGACCGGGUCAAGCCUCCUACGGGAGGAAGCAGUGGGGAAUAUUGGACAAUGGGCGCAAGCCUGAUCCAGCCAGACCGCGUGGGUGAAGAAGGCCUUCGGGUUGUAAAGCCCUUUUGUUGGGAAAGAAAUCUUUCAGGCUAAUACCCUGGGAGGAUGACGGUACCCAAAGAAUAAGCACCGGCUAACUUCGUG
rnacentral:rRNA from 1 species